rfam:Pan troglodytes isolate Yerkes chimp pedigree #C0471 (Clint) chromosome 7, whole genome shotgun sequence.
UAUUGGGUUGGUGCAAAAGGAAUUGUGGUUUUUGCCAUUGAAAAUAAUGGCAAAAACCGCAAUUCCUUUUGCACCAACCUAAUA